AACCUCCGCAAUGCGAGCAAUCGCGACGGGGGGACCCCAAGUGCACUCUUAACGGGGUGGCUUUUCUUAAGUGCUUUUGGAAUAAGGGCUGGCAAGACCGGUGCCAGCCGCCGCGGUAACACCAGCACCCCGAGUGGUCGGGACGAUUAUUGGGCCUAAAGCAUCCGUAGCCGGUCCUGCAAGUCCUCCGUUAAAUCCACCCGCUCAACGGUUGGGCCGCGGGGGAUACUACAGGGCUAGGAGGCGGGAGAGGCAAGCGGUACUCGAUGGGUAGGGGUAAAAUCCACUGAUCCAUUGAAGACCACCAGUGGCGAAGGCGGCUUGCCAGAACGCCUCGACGGUGAGGGAUGAAAGCUGGGGGAGCAAACCGGAUUAGAUACCCGGGUAGUCCCAGCUGUAAACGAUGCAGACUCGGUGAUGGGCGGUGCCGCAGGGAAGCCGUUAAGUCUGCCGCCUGGGGAGUACGGUCGCAAGACUGAAACUUAAAGGAAUUGGCGGGGA
rnacentral:rRNA from 1 species